AUUGAACGCUGGCGGCAGGCCUAACACAUGCAAGUCGAGCGGAUGAAGGGAGCUCGCUCCUGGAUUCAGCGGCGGACGGGUGAGUAAUGCCUAGGAAUCUGCCUGGUAGUGGGGGAUAACGUCCGGAAACGGGCGCUAAUACCGCAUACGUCCUGAGGGAGAAAGUGGGGGAUCUUCGGACCUCACGCUAUCAGAUGAGCCUAGGUCGGAUUAGCUAGUUGGUGGGGUAAAGGCCUACCAAGGCGACGGUCCGUAACUGGUCUGAGAGGAUGAUCAGUCACACUGGAACUGAGACACGGUCAAGACUCCUACGGGAGGAAGCAGUGGGGAAUAUUGGACAAUGGGCGAAAGCCUGAUCCAGCCAUGCCGCGUGUGUGAAGAAGGUCUUCGGAUUGUAAAGCACUUUAAGUUGGGAGGAAGGGCAGUAAGUUAAUACCUUGCUGUUUUGACGUUACCAACAGAAUAAGCACCGGCUAACUUCGUG
rnacentral:rRNA from 1 species